AGCUGUUGAUUUGCUCGCUGCCUGGUCGGGCAAGUACACUGUCCUGCUGGGCAUUGGGGAAGAGUCCCAACAAGUGGCUUUGUGAAAAGGCAGUUCCAUGGUAACAUUUCAGAAUGGCAGUCUUUCUCCUUGAGCACUGAGCUGCACAUGGUCACAAUGUGCAGCCCAAUCCUAAAUCUCAGACAUCUUUACUCAGAAUCUGGCAUAUCACUGACUUCCUGACUGCAGCAAAUGAAGUCCUACCAAGCAACUGCAAGAGGCUGAAGCUUCAUAUACCUCCUAGGACUAUUCUGCAGCAAAUGUGGAGAAUCCAAGCCAACGGAAG